AUUGAACGCUGGCGGCAGGCCUAACACAUGCAAGUCGAACGCGUCGCGGACGGGUGAGUAAUGUCUGGGAAACUGCCUGAUGGAGGGGUAUAACUACUGAACACGGUAGCUAAUACCGCAUACCAUCGUGAGCGCCCAGAUGGGAUUAGCUAGUAGGUGGGGUAAAGGCUCCCCUAGGCGACGCGCCCUAGCUGGUCUGAGAGGAUGAACAGCCACACUGGAACUGAGACACGGCCCAGACUCCUACGGGAGGCAGCAGUGGGGAAUAUUGCACAAUGGGCGCAAGCCUGAUGCAGCCAUGCCGCGUGUAUGAAGAAGGCCUUCGGGUUGUAAAGUACUUUCAGUGGGGAGGCGUUACCCGCAGAAGAAGCACCGGCUAACUCCGUGCCAGCAGCCGCGGUAAUAC
rnacentral:rRNA from 1 species